rnacentral:hammerhead_ribozyme from 1 species
AUCCAGUUGACGAAUCCCAAAUAGGACGAAAUGCACAUUGUAGAU